GCCGUCAAGUCAGGAGCUUGGGAAAAGGGUAUCAUUCUUUCAAUCUGUGGAGGCUGUAGAUCACGAAGAAAGUGCUGCUGAUCUGAAGAAAUUUCAGAAGAAGCCCAAGGCGUUGGAGCGCUCUAGCAGUCAUGUGUCCUCCUGGCCGGCAUACACACCAAGCCACACUAUCCUGCCCAA